UGUGGCUAAAUUCACACGAUAUCACACACAUACAUACAAGCGAGGUUCGCAACACCUCCCCCCUUAUCAAAAAGAUGUUUCCAAUGGGAACAACUUUCCUUAAAGUGUUUACGCUAGCCUGAAUUACAUUAUUCGUACGGAAACUUCACGUUGCCACACCCUUCCAUACAAGUUUACUGCUGCUGUAGAUUGAGUUUUUGUAAUUCUGGAGAAUAAGUCGUCCAAAUAACCUAUGAAAGUACGUGGUGGUUCCUGCCUAGAAAAUUCAGAUGGAAUGGUGGCUUUCACACCAAACACCAGUUCGUGUGAGGUGAACCCAGUGGCUUCAUGUACUGAGGUAUUAUAGGAGAAUAUGCCAAAUCUAAUCCACUCGUCCCAAUAAUUCUUGUUGCAAAAAUGUUUCAGAAAUUAUUCAUGAUUCUGCUCACGAAAUUCGUUCCCUGGUCUGUAUGAAUGGCGCGAGGACAACCAAACCGGCUGAUGAACUGUUCGGCAAGGGCUAUUGCUACAGAUGUGGAAUCUAUAUUAGAAAGUGGAAUGGCAUCUGAGUAUUUUGUAAGGUUGUCCUGGAGAGUAAAGAGCAUUUUAUACCUUUGGCAACUGGGGCAAGUACGUGUAAAAUUAGCGAUUUCCUUGGUCAUGUUUGGCCAAAAGAAAUCUGCUCUAAUUCUUUCAUAAAGUUUAUGGGCACCUUGAUGACCACCUACGGCGGACUCAUGGUACUCUUUUAUAAUGAGAGGCCUAUUUGUUAGUGAUGAGAUGCUGAUGUCUUUUAUAUCUAAAGAGUCUAUGAGAUGUUUAAGGGAGCUCAAAGAAGAUUCAAGGUGAACAGGAUCUACUUGUUCAUUCGAGGAUGCUUUUACCAAAAGAAAAUUUUCCGUGAGUUAUAAGGUCUCUACUUGUUUGUGACGUGAUUUCAUAGUCUGUGGAGAAGAAAUGGAUAAAAUUAUCCUUACGCAUAUGAAGAUGGUCCUUUGUAUAGAGAAUGGUGGGGGAAUUAGGAUGGUGAGUUGCUGGUAUUGGUGAAGAUGUAUUUGUCAACAGAACUGUUACGUCGUUUCGUCUGUAGUUUACGGGAGGCAAAUCGUUGGCGCCUACGACAUCCUCCCGCAACCGCUCAAAAGGAGAGGCGUCCGUGUUGUCCGUCGGAGU